AGAGUUUGAUCAUGGCUCAGAGUGAACGCUGGCGGCAGGCCUAACACAUGCAAGUCGAACGGCAGCACAGCAGUAGCAAUACUGUGGGUGGCGAGUGGCGGACGGGUGAGGAAUACAUCGGAAUCUACCUUAUCGUGGGGGAUAACGUAGGGAAACUUACGCUAAUACCGCAUACGACCUACGGGUGAAAGCGGAGGACCUUCGGGCUUCGCGCGAUAAGAUGAGCCGAUGUCGGAUUAGCUAGUUGGUGGGGUAAAGGCCCACCAAGGCGACGAUCCGUAGCUGGUCUGAGAGGAUGAUCAGCCACACUGGAACUGAGACACGGUCCAGACUCCUACGGGAGGCAGCAGUGGGGAAUAUUGGACAAUGGGCGCAAGCCUGAUCCAGCCAUGCCGCGUGGGUGAAGAAGGCCUUCGGGUUGUAAAGCCCUUUUGUCCGGAAAGAAAAGCUUCGGGCUAAUACCCCGGGGUCCUGACGGUACCGGAAGAAUAAGCACCGGCUAACUUCGUGCCAGCAGCCGCGGUA
rnacentral:rRNA from 1 species